GCGGGCAUCGUAUAGUGGUUUAUUAUGACAGCCUUCCAAGCUGUAGAGACGGGUUCGAUUCCCGUUGCCCGCUCCA
rnacentral:tRNA from 1 species